AUGAACGCUAGCUACAGGCUUAACACAUGCAAGUCGAGGGGCAGCAUGACCUAGCAAUAGGUUGAUGGCGACCGGCGCACGGGUGAGUAACACGUAUCCAACCUGCCGAUUAUUCCGGGAUAGCCUUUCGAAAGAAAGAUUAAUACUGGAUAGCAUAACGAGAAGGCAUCUUCUUGUUAUUAAAGAAUUUCGAUAAUCGAUGGGGAUGCGUUCCAUUAGUUUGUUGGCGGGGUAACGGCCCACCAAGACAUCGAUGGAUAGGGGUUCUGAGAGGAAGGUCCCCCACAUUGGAACUGAGACACGGUCCAAACUCCUACGGGAGGCAGCAGUGAGGAAUAUUGGUCAAUGGACGAGAGUCUGAACCAGCCAAGUAGCGUGAAGGAUGACUGCCCUAUGGGUUGUAAACUUCUUUUAUAUGGGAAUAAAGUGAGCCACGUGUGGCUUUUUGUAUGUACCAUACGAAUAAGGAUCGGCUAACUCCGUGCCAGCAGCCGCGGUAAUACGGAGGAUCCGAGCGUUAUCCGGAUUUAUUGGGUUUAAAGGGAGCGUAGGCGGAUUAUUAAGUCAGUUGUGAAAGUUUGCGGCUCAACCGUAAAAUUGCAGUUGAUACUGGUAGUCUUGAGUGCAGCAGAGGUAGGCGGAAUUCGUGGUGUAGCGGUGAAAUGCUUAGAUAUCACGAAGAACUCCGAUUGCGAAGGCAGCUUACUGGACUGUAACUGACGCUGAUGCUCGAAAGUGUGGGUAUCAAACAGGAUUAGAUACCCUGGUAGUCCACGCUGUAAACGAUGUCGAUUUAGAGGUUGUGGUCUUGAACUGUGGCUUCUGGAGCUAACGCGUUAAAUCGACCGCCUAGGGAGUACGGCCGCAAGGUUAAAACUCAAAUGAAUUGACGGGGGCCCGCACAAGCGGUGGAGCAUGUGGUUUAAUUCGAAGCAACGCGAAGAACCUUACCAGGUCUUGACAUACUCAUAAAGGCUCCAGAGAUGGAGAGAUAGCUAUAUGAGAUACAGGUGGUGCAUGGUUGUCGUCAGCUCGUGCCGUGAGGUGUCGGCUUAAGUGCCAUAACGAGCGCAACCCUUAUCGAUAGUUACCAUCAGGUUAUGCUGGGGACUCUGUCGAGACUGCCGUCGUAAGAUGUGAGGAAGGUGGGGAUGACGUCAAAUCAGCACGGCCCUUACGUCCGGGGCUACACACGUGUUACAAUGGGGGGUACAGAAGGCAGCUACACAGCGAUGUGAUGCUAAUCCCAAAAGCCUCUCUCAGUUCGGAUUGGAGUCUGCAACCCGACUCCAUGAAGCUGGAUUCGCUAGUAAUCGCGCAUCAGCCACGGCGCGGUGAAUACGUUCCCGGGCCUUGUACACACCGCCCGUCAAGCCAUGGGAGCCGGGGGUACCUGAAGUACGUAACCGCAAGGAGCGUCCUAGGGUAAAACUGGUAAUUGGGGCU
rnacentral:rRNA from 1 species